rnacentral:rRNA from 1 species
UACGUAAGGGGCUAGCGUUGUCCGGAUUUAUUGGGCGUAAAGAGCUCGUAGGCGGUCUGUCACGUCGGCUGUGAAAUCCCGAGGCUCAACCUCGGGUCUGCAGUCGAUACGGGCAAACUAGAGUAUUGCAGGGGAGACUGGAAUUCCUGGUGUAGCGGUGAAAUGCGCAGAUAUCAGGAGGACACCGGUGGCGAAGGCGGGUCUCUGGGCAAUAACUGACGCUGGAGGAGCGAAAGCGUGGGGAGCGAACAGG